rnacentral:rRNA from 1 species
UGAGGAAUAUUGGGCAAUGCCCGCAAGGGUGACCCAGCAACGCCGCGUGGAGGAUGAAUGUCGUAAGAUUGUAAACUCCUGUUAGAGGGGAAGAAUAGUACCGGUUGGACCGGUAUAUGACUGUACCCUCAGAGAAAGCCCCGGCUAACUACGUGCCAGCAGCCGCGGUAAUACGUAGGGGGCAAGCGUUGUCCGGAUUUACUGGGUGUAAAGGGCGCGCAGGCGGGAUAAAAAGUCAGUGGUGAAAUCCUACAGCUUAACUGUAGAACUGCCUUUGAUACUGGGAAACUUGAGUUCGGGAGAGGUGAGUGGAACUGCGAGUGUAGAGGUGAAAUUCGUAGAUAUUCGCAAGAACACCAGCGGCGAAGGCGGCUCACUGGCCCGAUACUGACGCUGAGGUGCGAAAGCGUGGGGAGCAAACA